UAUAUAUACACACGCAUAUAUACAUUACAUGUAAUUUUGCAUUGAUUUUAUGUCUUAUUGGGUGUUCGUCAGGAUCAUCAUUUUCCUUUCACUGACUUCUCUUCAUUUUGGUUUUGAUGUGAGUCUUGCAUCUGGUGCAUCUCGUGCUAUUGCUAUUCGUGCUCCAGUCCCAUGCUUAUCCGGUCGGUCAUCUCGAUUGAUCCGCAUGGGGCAGUAGCAACCGAAACUAGUGCGAAGUUGCCAGAGGAGACAGCCCUCCCCCAGGCAAAAGGGUGGCAUUGGCAGCGGAAAAUGAAAUUUGAAAAUUUGAAAAAAAAAAAUUAAUAUUUUUAUUGCUCAUCUGGUCAGUCAUCUCCAUUGAUCUGCAUAGGAGCAGUAGUAACCAAACUAGUGCGGAAGUAGUGGUGCCAACGGAACUAGUGCAGAGGAAUAUGAAAUUUGAAAAUUUGAAAAAAAAAAAAUAUAUUUUUAUUAAAGUCAUUAGAAUAUUUAACAUUUUAAUAAUAAGAAGAAUCAUAAAAUUAGUGAACUUUGCUCAGAAUCAUACCAUGGGCCUUAGUAGAUGGGCUUAGGGUUGAUAUUUUAUUUUAAAAGACAUUAGAUUGUACGAGUAUAAAUGGGGAGGAUUGGAUUGGUUUGGGUUGGGUUUUUAGUUAGGACUGCAAUGAAAAUAAAUGGCAUUUGACAAAUAUUAUUUUUGGGUUUGAAAUCAUGUUUUAUAAAUUAUUAUACAUAUAUAUUCUUGACUCAAAACGAGCCUAUAAAAUUCAUGAAUAACCGAGUAGGGGUGUUUGACAUUGGUUCGUUUAUUAAUUGAAUUUAUAAAUUUUGUUGAGUUCCCUUCUUAGAUAAACAAACAUGAACCAACCACUUGCUUGAACUAUUCAUUGAAAACUUGACUAGCUUGUCAUAAUUGGUGUUUUGAAUAAGACGAUCUUUUUUAUUUUGAAUUUUUUCUUUUUCAUAUUAAAAAUGUAAUAAGAAUGAGAGGUGUUAAGCUUUUUAUCAUCCUGGCGUAGAGCUAUUUUUCUGUAGGACCUCCCCUACAGUAUCGUCACCGCAGUAGAGUUUAACCACCGAGUUCGGGAUGGAUUGGUGUGGUAGACCUAGUUCCCCUCAUGUUUAUUUCCAGAGAGAAAAAAAAAAAAAAUGCACAUAAUUAGAAAUCAUAAUGAAUAGGUAGUGGUAUUUCAAGCAUUACAAAUACUGUAAUAUGUUAACACUCACAAAGCAAAUUGAUGGUUAUACAUGCAAAAAGUUCUAAAAAUAGACAAACAGAGCCCUUGCAAUGAAGAUCUAAUUUGCAAAUGAUUGCUAUUCUGUAAACUCAGAUUCAGGAAGCUAAUAUUGAGUCAGUCCAUAAACAUAUAGGCUAUAUGGCAACCUCUUGGGCAGUUAUUUAUCUUUUAAAAUUUUUUAUAUAUUCUUUUUGUUUUCAAAAAUUUGUGACUUUAAUGUACUGUUCAUUGUUUUAUUUUAUUUGCUUCUUAUUUUCAA